rnacentral:rRNA from 1 species
UACGUAGGUGGCAAGCGUUAAUCGGAAUUACUGGGCGUAAAGCGUGCGCAGACGGUUGCGUAAGUCAGAUGUGAAAGCCCCGGGCUCAACCUGGGAAUUGCAUUUGAGACUGCGUAGCUAGGGUGCGGAAGAGGGAAGCGGAAUUUCCGGUGUAGCGGUGAAAUGCGUAGAUAUCGGAAGGAACACCAGUGGCGAAAGCGGCUUCCUGGUCCAGCACCGACGUUCAGGCACGAAAGCGUGGGGAGCAAACAGG